rnacentral:rRNA from 1 species
AAGCCUGACGGAGCAYGCCGCGUGAGGGAUGAAGGCCUCUGGGCUGUAAACCUCUUUUAUCAAGGAAGAAGAUCUGACGGUACUUGAUGAAUAAGCCACGGCUAAUUCCGUGCCAGCAGCCGCGGUAAUACGGGAGUGGCAAGCGUUAUCCGGAAUUAUUGGGCGUAAAGCGUCCGCAGGCGGCCCUUCAAGUCUGCUGUUAAAAAGUGGAGCUUAACUCCAUCAUGGCAGUGGAAACUGUUGGGCUUGAGUGUGGUAGGGGCAGAGGGAAUUCCCGGUGUAGCGGUGAAAUGCGUAGAUAUCGGGAAGAACACCAGUGGCNAAGGCGCUCUGCUGGGCCAUCACUGACGCUCAUGGACGAAAGCCAGGGGAGCGAAAGGGAUUAGAUACCCCUGUAGUCCUGGCCGUAAACGAUGAACACUACGUGUCGGGGGAAUCGACCCCCUCGGUGUCGUAGCCAACGCGUUAAGUGUUCCGCCUGGGGAGUACGCACGCAAGUGUGAAACUCAAAUGAAAUUGACGGA